UAUUUUUGAAAAAACGUUACACGAUAAAAAAAACAUCAGUGAUUCAGAAACCGUGUGUGUGUGUGUGUUCACGGCUGCAGCUCGUAGCCCAGCGGGUCGAGUCCUCGGUCCAACAGAGCGAGAGACGACUCCCUCAACUUCUGCAGGAACCUCCUUAGCUCCUCCUUAGAGAACACCUGGUAGAGGUGGUGG